GGUACGAUGCGCCUGGUCCACGGUCGAAAGAUCGCGAGUAUCGGAGCGUAUCUGCCAUCCUUCUAGUUAACUGGCUGUACUUAACUGUGCGGUCAGCGAUCUAGAUCUUUUACUUUGAAAAAAUUAGAGUGUUUAAAGCAGGCUUGCGCUAUGAAUACAUUAGCAUGGAAUAAUAAUUUAGGACUUUGCUCCUAUUUUAUUGGUUUCUAGGGGUAAAGUA
rnacentral:rRNA from 1 species